rnacentral:lncRNA from 1 species
UUAUCCUCUAAUCACCUUAACCAUGGUUAACUACAUGGGUUUAUAAAUUAUAUUAUCUUCUAACUCUAAUUCUUUUCUUUUUCCUUUCCCUCUUUUUCUAAACAAAAUACUCAAACCUAACAAAUUUAGGACUCCUCAUAUUUUGAGGAGCAUCUCUAGUGUCGGUGUUAUCAACUCAAAGUCAUAUUCACGUCGGAUCCAUUCACGUCUGGGUUCUUCCUCCUUCUCAUAUCUCUUCCCUUUUGGUUUCUCUUGUAAGUAUGAAGCUCUGUUAAUCUUUCAUGUUUUUGUUCUUCUCCUUCUGGUAAUUGUGAAUUUCUGAUAAAGUCUAUUGAUCAGAACCCAUCGUCUUAUGCAUAGCAGUGGACUGUGAGGUUGAAUCACUUUCAUGAUCAUGUCUUGUGAGGUUACAAUCUGACAAGGUAUAUAUGAUGCUAUCAAUUUUUUUUCAUGAAUAAGCCAAUUUCCCUCUCAUUGAAUUUAAGAUGCAUCAGUUUGGCUUUGGCAGUUCUCAUGAAUGAGCCAAUUUCCCUUUCCUGAAUGCUACUGCAAAUUUUAAUAUGUACUUAGUGUUAUUAU